AAGCGGAACAGUGUGGGCUAGAUAAAUAAAAUUCAACUUUUACCAUAUAAACUUUUAUUCCUCAAGGAAAACAAUCUGUCGAAGCAACAAAAAUAACCAACGGCGAGCCGCGGCGCGCGGCCGGCUCCUGGCCUAUAAGAUACACACUAACUUUAUUUAACUAAUUUAUUUACACAUUUUUUGUAUUUUUUUUUAUUUGAUAUUUUCAUGGUCAGUCUAAGCUAACUUUGCAGCGGCUUGUACAGAACAAAGUGAGAUCAUUAUAAAUAUCAUAUUUUCAUAGUAUGUAAUAGGUACGACAAUAUUUAUGACAUUUCCACACUUUGUCAUUGCAUAAUGCCACGCAGAGUUACCUUGGUCCGACUAAUCGUUUGCACAUUCAAUUGUAGUAAAACGAAAAUAACCCAUUUUUAAACGGUUUUAUUAUUUGUAUAAGGUAAACGUCCCAGUGUUUGACAUUUAUGUCCAAAUUAUUGCGUUCCGCUGUCACCACUACUGACAAUUUCUUAUGUUUAACCCUUCGUAGGGCAAAGGCGUCAACUAACCCAACGCCAACCUUCGCGCAUUCCGACAAGGUUCGCGAUGACACGCCGCGCGCGAUCGGCGUGCCGUUCAAACGGUUUCAGAUGACAUGUCAUUGGGACGGCUACCCUAUUUAACAACAAAAAUCCACUUAGUAGAAUUUUAGAUUAAAAACAAGUACAAAAAAUGUAUAAAUCGCUAAUACAUAUCCCUCAACUACUGCAAGGAUUACAUGAUUCGUUUGAAUAAAUCAAAUUACUUGUACUGACUUCAUAAAAAUCACAUCACAAACUUAGUAUAUUAAUAUAUGUUCUUUUACAUUUAAAUAUAUAUAUCCAUUAUCAACUUUUUAAUGUUACUAACAUAUCGUCAACUUGACGAUCGAGCUUGACGCCCUGAUACCGGUACUGAAAUGCUAGCAUGAGAUUUCGGGUUUAAAAUAUAUCUCUAAUCCGGUAAGCGAAAGCGGUAGCACGUCAGUCACCGGUACCCAACGAUAUAAUUUAUUUUUAUUAAUAUUACAAAAUGAAAAAAAAUCUAUGCAUUCUUAAACAAAUGCACUCUCACUUUCCAUUGGGGAGCUCCCCAAUAUAAUUCGCCCGUUCGCAAAAUGCCACAUUUACAGUUCGACAAGAAAAUGUAGAAAUUAAAAAGUGGCAAUACUGAAGUGUCAAAUCGAUCUAAGAAAACGGGACGACACUACAAUAUUGCCACUUAUUAAUUUCUACAUUUUCUUGUCGGACUAUAUUUACAACAUUAACGUUUUAGCAGAUUGCCAACAUGCUAAACUACUAAUGCAAGCGAGCAGAUGGAUCGCGCGGUAAUCAACUACCGUCGUCGCCCAUGGACACAAGGGCGGUUGCAAGUGCGUUGCCUUUAAGAUGGGAGUACGCUCUUUUGAUGCGACCACAGUUUACCCCAGCACACUUCGAAAGUCAAUCAGUAGCAGAAGUAGCUAACCGAGCGAGCUGUUCAAAAUUACCUACACACGCUAUUUUGCAAUAUAGUCGUGAUUAAUUAAAUUUGGACACGUCGCCCACUUAGCUUGACUGUAAUUUAGUUAAACAAAUAUCCUAUUUGCAGAACUACCUACAUGAUCUAACGAACUUCCUGGAGUGAAGUUCGAUCGAUAUAUGAGUAAAGAUGUGCGACUGCUACCCGACGCAUAGAGGUGAUACUACUGGUGGAUAAUAAUUAUAUUUGAAAAAAAAAAAUUACUGACCAAAUAAGGGGAUUAUUUUUACUCAAAAUGCUGUACAUAGAUUUAACCCUUUACCAGGCUGACAGUUCAUAAAUGACAAUCGAAUGCCAGUCUUACUCAUCGAAAAUAGAACACAUGUUUGAUGAGCCGUAUGUGGGAAAUAUACACCCCUCAGCCUGGUAAAGUGUUAAUAUUGGCAAUCUGAUAAAAUGUGUUGUUUAUAAAAUGUGGUACUUUAUAAACGAGUGAUAUAAUUCUAUAAAAAUAAAACUGAAAGAGCCAACCCGACGCCUGUUCAAUUUAUUUAUUAAUAAAUAUAAUUUAGUACUUACUCCAACGUUUAAUGAAAAA